rnacentral:lncRNA from 1 species
UUUCCUAACAAGUUCCUCCUCCAGUGUUCUUCAAACCAAAAAUUAAUAAGAAGCCAUCUUACCUAUGAUAAGUAGAUCACACAUCAUAAAAUCUCAGUGCCUGAAGUUUUAGAAUGCUUAGCAGGACCCUACAAUCUAGAUUAGAUAAAACAAUAAAUUUACCCAAAAAAUCUCCAGGGAAGUUUUUUCUACACUUUUGUUUGAGUAACUCCCAACCCUGUGUGAUCUCUAAUAGUUCUGUGUAUAGGACUCUUUUAUGGAGC